CUACUCAGGCACACCCAGAAGUGUGCUCGACCCAUCACCUAGACUGCUUCCAAGGUAAUUUGACAAAAGGAAACUUCACCUCCAUACCAUGAGGACACAAAAUAUGGAGAAAUGAUCUUCGGGCACUGUUACUUCUGCCAAUUAUUUGUAUGGAAACAUUACUGGAAAGUUGGAAGGCAGCUUGGGCUGGAAGCCAUUCUAUGUGUGAAGUGGUCCCAACUCUUGGAUCCCCCUGAGCAAAUUUCUGGGGAGGUCCACAAACAGGACUUGGAGGCCAAGAAUAAUGCUUUGAAGCACUGUCUGGCUGAGCUGCAUCCCCGGCACCUAUAAGGUUGUACAUCAGGCCAAAAGCCAACUCCACACUGAGAGAAAAUUUCAGGGAAAUACAUAUUCAGAAGGUCCUGUGAAAUUCCAUGUCUACUGAAUCAAGACGUCACCCAAAAUGUGAUGUUAUGAGUGUUAGUACCUACUACCUGUCAAAUAAUGCACUGGAAAAGUAGGAUCCCAGGAGAGUACUUAAUAUAAUGUACAUACACAAAUGUUCUUUUCUCAAAGAUGGAAUACAUCUGUGAAUUUGUGGUUAAUGAUCCUUUCUAAGUCCACUUUUGAUAUUUCACCUCCAAAAACAUAGAUCCAUUUAUUUAAUAAUCAGUUCCUUGCAUAUAUUUAUGAUGAUUUUAUUUUGAGAUUUUAAGUUCUUUUGAAUAUUGUGCAUUUAGAUAUAUGGCUGAGUUAUUUAUUCUGGUCCAUUUUUAAGUGUUCAGUCAGUUGAUACAAAGUAACUUAUCCUUAGAAUUAUUGUAGCUUCAUAAUAUUUUAACCAAUAACAAACCCAUCGAGAUGUGGUUUCAUCCUCACAUCUCCUUUUUAGUGGAAACACCUUUUUAAAUUUUUUGAAAUUACAAACUUUUUAUCAAGUUCUCCAAAUUAAAUGCAUUUUUACUGUGAUUGUAAUAUAGUGUAUAAAUAUUUUCUUUAUUUUAAAUAUUUUAGUUAAGUGAUAUCUUUCCAUUAAUUAGGACUACAUUUCCCUUUUAUUUAGGCUUAUUAAGGUAUUACAUAUUACAAAAGCCUCUAUUUCUGAGUAUAUGGAUAAGUGAGAAUGAGAAAAUAGACACAGGCAUUUAACAUGACCAUUAGUAAGAUAUGGAAUAUUGCC
rnacentral:lncRNA from 1 species